GCACGCGGUGGGCCGGCUCGACCGGUUCCUCGCGGCCACCGACCUCGGCGAAUCGCUCCGCGAGUGGUUCGGUACGAUUCCGGAGGCGUGGACC
rnacentral:tRNA from 1 species